AAACCCGAAUUUCAAACUGGGGGUAUUAAAAUGUCGAAAGUCAUCAAUAUUAGACAGUUGGUUGUGAAAUCUUCAAAGCACACAAGCACCUAGAUUCCUCAGAAGACAGAAUGACGUGUUUCGUUUUAGCAGUUUUUUGCCUGGUCGUUGUUUUUGUAAUGCCUUUUGGAAACACUGGAACCGUUGACAAACAACAGUUAGUUCAAAUUCAGCCAAAGGAAAAAAUAAAUGUUCGAACCGACGUACUAAGACCUGGUCAUAAUAGUGGUGGACAAAUCUUCCGGUACAAGCGAUCUGGCAUUCCACCACUAACUAACAAACAAGGUUCAGGCCCAAAUUUCGCCAUUAUAGGUGACAACUCCCAAAUCGGCCACACCGGAAAACACGGCAAGCAUAAGCAACACGACAGGCGACACUAGGAAAUUCGAGAAUCGUAGAUUUUAGGGGCCUAGUACUUUUUGAAGAACAUUAUCAAAUUGUGAACAUAUUAUAUAUGAAAGCAUAAAAGCAUCAUACCACUCCAAAA